rnacentral:lncRNA from 1 species
GACUCAGAGGCUGACUUAUUUUUCAUUCAUAGAAUUGAAUCUCACAAUACAUCUUCCUUUCCAAGUAAAAGCAUGCGGAUUGCAUGCGCAAAUUACAUCUGAUACGGAGAAUAUUGCAUAUGAAAUAUAAUCGAAAAAUAUGCCACAUGUGUAAUGCCACUCAAAGGCUGACUUCUUUUUCAUUCAUAGAAUUGAAUCUGACCAUGAGCUGCCUUUCCAAGCUCUGCAUUAUGGGUUCAUAGUAAAAAAAUAUAAAAUUCUAGCAAUACAUAUCAAAUGACAUCUAAACCAUAUUGUUGGAGCUCGUCUCCACUAAACUGUCUUCAAGAUCAUGCUCAUGAGCCCUCACCAUAUGAAACAUCUGAAACACGCUGAAGAAAGCACUGCACCGAGAUUCAUAUAAAUUUAGAAGUAUUACUUAGCUACAUUAAAAUUGAUGUACAAUAGUCUUGAAAUGGCAUAAUAAAAGGAUGGAGAAAUUACUAACCUUGCAUCAGUUGCAGCAUUCAGCUCCAUAUCCUUUGUAUUUUCUUUAUCUUACACAAUCUACGAACCAAAAUAGCAACUGUAAAGAAGAUCCAAAUAGGACGAACCCUGAAAACAUAAAACUUAAAAAAACCUUCCACCAUACUACCGCCUGCCUUCUUUUGCUCCCAUGCUUUUCUUGUUUUUACUUAAAUAACUUCAUCCCUCUUCUCACAUUCAGCAAUUCAUGCUCUUCCUGUUUCUACUUAAAUAACUUCAUCGCUCUUCUCACAUUUAGCAGUUCUAUUUUUCUGCUUUUUUUCUCUCUCUACAAAAUCAGGCCAAUACUCUUCCAAGACUUCCCCCUUUACACUUUCUAUUUCUUUAACUUCUCCAAAGCUCACAUGUAAUUUUGAGUUUUCCAUCUUAAACCUAAUGGGUGCCUUCUUUCCCCUUGUUAUUUAUCACAUCAAACGCCUUCUCGACUUUACUAUCAAUAAUUCAGAAUAUAAAAAUACAUGAAAAAUCAACCAAACAGAUAGAUAUAAGAAAUUCAUAAAAUAAGAAGGGGAGAUUUACCUCUAGCGAGUAGUGGUGCUAAAGUUUCAGCAGUGGUACAUUACUUACCAACCUUUAUCCUACUCAAACCUUUUCACUUGUGUUAGAUCUAGCUAGUUGAACUCAAAAAAUUAAACAAAAUAAAUGUUCUAUAUCAUGAACAAACUGAUCCAUCCAUAAAGAUUACUACUUUUCAAAGGACUAUUACUUGGGCAAGAUAAAAGCAAAACACGCCCAUAUCAAUUCAUCGUUGUAUACACUGAGUUAGAUACUCAAUAUGAUGUCUUACUGAAAUAACAGAUUUAUACCAAAUUGGCACACCAAUAAUCUUUGAAUAAAUUCAAGAAAUAAUUAACAUACACAAUUUUGAAUACGAAGCAGUCUUGAAGGUUCAAAAAAACUAACCAGAUACCAUCAGAUAUAUGCCAAGAAGGUUCUAUAUACCACCCUUAUCUAAAAAAAAGUUUCUACAUACCACAACAACCUAUGUUGCGCGGACUCUCCAAAAUGUAGCCACACUCGUGUCGGAUCUUUAAAAAAUGCACUACUUCUGGAGGAUCCAACACGUAUCCGGCCACAUUUUCAGAGAGUCUGAGCAACAUAGACAACAACAAAUAUUACAAUGAAAAUAAAAAUAAAUUCCAGUAAAUUAGAGUGAUAGCUCAGAUGUUUACCUCAAAAAUAGGCUAUCUUCAGUAUGUGAAUAAAAAGACAGCCUGGUGCACUAAGUUCCAGCUAUGCCGGGGUUCGGGAAAAGGCCGGACCACAAGUGUCUUCACUAUGUGAAUGAACUUCACAAAUAUGUUGGGAAACACUGCAGGUGUUAAAACCAAAAGAUCUGAAGCACCUCCUUCAGGUAUUUUAUUAGUGGGAUAGGCAUCACCUUUGUUUACACACAAAAAAAGACAUUGUUUACCAAAAAAGAAUGCUUACUUUGUCGAAGUCGCUGGUUUGAUAAGCCUUCUCCAUUUCCCUGCCUAAUUCCAUCAAACGUCAGAACCAAUCUCACUCAAUUAAAUAAGGUAAAUUAAAACCUUGUUAAUGUCUGGCCUUUCUGCAAUAUUUUAGGUAACCUCUUUCAGCUAGUAAUAUAGGGAACAUUUGUUAUCUAUGCAUCAUUUUGUUUCACCUACUUCCUGUACUUCUUCUCUUUUUCGCUUUUCUAAGGCCUUACCUACGGCUGCACCAUUCAAGGAAAUAAGAGGGGGGGGGGUGGCAAAAACUUAGAUAAAGAUCAGAAGGUGGAAAUUCGACCAUGCACACACACAUUAUGGGUCGAUGUGAUCAUCAAAAGAAUGGGUCGAUGAGAUAUAUUUGGAGUCGGAUAGAGAAGAUGAUUGACC